UACGGAGGGUGCAAGCGUUAUCCGGAUUCACUGGGUUUAAAGGGUGCGUAGGCGGGCAGGUAAGUCCGUGGUGAAAUCUCUGAGCUUAACUCAGAAACUGCCAUGGAUACUAUCUGUCUUGAAUAUUGUGGAGGUAAGCGGAAUAUGUCAUGUAGCGGUGAAAUGCUUAGAUAUGACAUAGAACACCAAUUGCGAAGGCAGCCCCCUGGGUUAACACUGACGCUCAGGCACGAAAGCGUGGGGAGCAAACAGG
rnacentral:rRNA from 1 species